rnacentral:rRNA from 1 species
GUCCACGCAGUAAACGAUGAUAACUCGCUGUCGGCGAUACACAGUCGGUGGCUAAGCGAAAGCGAUAAGUUAUCCACCUGGGGAGUACGUUCGCAAGAAUGAAACUCAAAGGAAUUGACGGGGGCCCGCACAAGCGGAGGAACAUGUGGUUUAAUUCGAUGAUACGCGAGGAACCUUACCCGGGCUUGAAAGUUAGCGACGAUUCUGGAAACAGGAUUUCCCUUCGGGGCGCGAAACUAGGUGCUGCAUGGUUGUCGU